GUUUGAUCAUGGCUCAGAUUGAACGCUGGCGGCACGUAACACAUGCAAGUCGAGCGGCAGCGAAUAGUAGCAAUACUAUUUGGCGGCGAGCGGCGGACGGGUGAGGAACACGUAGGAAUCUACCCUCAAGCGGGGGACAACCAAGGGAAACUUUGGCUAAUACCGCAUAAUAUCGAGAGAUCAAAGCUGCAGCAAUGUGGCACUUGAAGAGGAGCCUGCGUCCGAUUAGCUAGUUGGUAGGGUAAAAGCCUACCAAGGCAAUGAUCGGUAACUGGUCUGAGAGGACGACCAGUCACACUGGGACUGAGACACGGCCCAGACUCCUACGGGAGGCAGCAGUGGGGAAUCUUGGACAAUGGGGGCAACCCUGAUCCAGCGAUGCCGCGUGAGUGAAGAAGGCCCUCGGGUCGUAAAGCUCUUUAGGUUGGGAAAGAAAGGUUGUUUGAGGAAAUGCUUACAACUUGACUGUACCGACAGAAUAAGCACCGGCAAACUCUGUGCCAAGCAGCCGCGUAAUACCAGAAGGGUGCGAGCCGUUAAUCGGAGUUACUGGGCGUAAAGGGUGCGUAGGCGGUUUAUGUGAGUGUUGAUGUGAAGCCCGGGCUUAACCUGGG
rnacentral:rRNA from 1 species